ACCUGGGUGGCUAAGUCAGUUAAGCAUCUGACUUUGGCUCAGGUCACAAUCUCACGGUUCAUGGGUUCGAGCCCCGUGUCGGGCU
rfam:Felis catus isolate Cinnamon breed Abyssinian chromosome A1, whole genome shotgun sequence.